AAAAGUGGCAAUGCCAAUCCACGGGUGUCUUCAGUUUACAUUCUUAUUAUCUGUCCGACAAGAGAACUGGCAAGUCAAAUAGCUGCAGAAGCAAAUGCUAUGCUGAAAUACCAUGAUGGCAUAGGCGUGCAAACACUAGUUGGAGGUACGCGUUUCAAAGAUGAUCAGAAGCGCUUAGAAUCAGAUCCAUGCCAGAUAAUUGUUGCAACUCCUGGUCGGCUGCUGGAUCACAUUGAGAAC
rnacentral:misc_RNA from 1 species